CGCCCUCCGGCCUCCGCACCGCCUCUGCUUCCGGCUAUAAAAGACGCCCAGGCGCGCCCUCUCCUCCCCGCGCCCCGCCCCGCCCUCUCUUCCGAGCUGUCCUUCGGGCCGCGCCGCCGGCGUCGAUCGCCCCCACGCGUCUCCGCGGCUUUUUCCUCCCCCUUGUCCAUCACAAAUCUCGAUUCAUUUCGAACCGCGCUUGAUUUCCUCUCCUCGCCGGCUCUUCUUCCUGUGCUCGCAGGCAGGGGGUAAAUCCGGCCCGCCUCCGCGCGGAGCGAUCGAUCGGGGGAACUCCGUCGAUUCCGCGUCCCGCCUCUGAUUCAAUUCCGCGUCACCCGAGGGCCGAAUCAAGGUCGGUUUCUCGCAGCUCGGUCAGAUCGGUUCCUUCCAUGGCCCCGUCGCCCGCCCGCCCGCCUGCGUCCGCCGGUGAUUCCAGAUUCGAUGAAAAUCGAACCGGCUCUCGCCCGUGCGCGCGGCCCGUUCCCGAUCCGGCGCCCUCGUCACGAGCCCAGCCGUCAUCGGGUUAUAAAAUACGAGGUGGGUUCGAGGCCCCCGUGGAUUCCGUUUUCACCCGCCGAUCUAGGUAUGCGCUUGUGCUCUCAUCCUGUUCCUAGAUGCAGCAGGGUCAAAAGGACGGUCGGUGGUUCUCAACUUCUCAUGAAGAGAUCUAGCCUUUUGGUAUGCGCUUGUGCUCCCACCAUCCUAUUCCUAGAUGCAGCAGGGUCAAAAGGACGGUCGGUGGUUCUGCUGAAGAGAUGGGUGCGAGUUUGAUUCCCGUUCAUGGUUACUUUGAUGAUUGGUUACUUACGGUUCAGCGGCCAGAUCUUGUAGGAUGUUCAAGCUUUGGAUCUCUCACCAACCUGCAACUUCAGCCUGCACCUGGAUAAUAAUAAUUCGGUCCCUUCCAAUUUAGUCUUUUGGUUUGCACUGCACAGUUAUAAUCUAGUACAAAGCAUCUUAUUUAGAUCCGUUCGUUGAUGAUUCUCCAGAGACUGGGAUAACACGGCUUAGCGGGAGCACCUGCCUACCUUCGGCUGAUUUGUGUUUGGAUGAAUAUUACUACUCCUAUCUCUGUUUAAUUCCUUGCUCUCCACCGUUCAUUUUCAGCCUACAACAGUUCUGAUUUGGAUUUAUUGCUCAUUGUCCAGAAAUUCGGAUUACUCGGCUUAGUGGGAGCAACUUAUUACUAUCUUCUUGCUGACCUGUGUUUGGAUGAUCAACUGUCUCUGUUUAAUUUGUUCUUCUCCACACUUCAAUUAUUCUCUCAACAUUUCUGAUUUGGAACGGUUGCUGGUUGUCCAGAAACUGGAAUUGCACGGGCCUAGCGGGUGCUCCUAUUUUGCCUCAGCAUGGCGGUUCUUCCUGCCUGGCUUGAAAUUUCUGGACCUUCCUUUCUCAGUAUUAACUAGAACUCAUCAGACAUUAGUUUUCCAUGUCUUAAGUCAUUCUCAGCUCUUGCAGAUAGUGUCUUGCAAAGGACAUAUAAUUGGAACCUGUGUUGUCUACCUGACCAUCCCAGUCGAGACAGGCUUAGUCAUCCUUUACCUCAGUUUCAUCCUAGUUUUCCCCUAACUGAAACAUUUAUAGAAAGGUAUCUUGCUUGUUGCAGGUCGUAGUUUAUGAACUCAAGGCCACCAACCUGAUGCUGAGUUUGCAGUUCUUCUAAAACCACUAUCUACUUAAUUCCUUGACUGAGAUAAUGUUAAUAUGAUCUCUUACUAGGCAAUAUUUUAAAUUCAGAUUUUGCUGCAAAAGGUGCAAGAAUGAAGCUUCAAACUACUGACGUAUCCUACAACCGGAAAAAACUUAAAUCUCUUAUCCUCUGUUUUUACUUCAUCUACAUGUUCAUGCUUUUGAUUUAGGUUUUUUGCUUCUGCCCUCCAUGUCGUUGCAGAUUUGGCCUAAGACAAUGAUUGUAGUGGGUCGGAAUCUGUUAAAAUCGUCUGGUUUGCUAUCUAUCUCCUUGUGGUUUGAUUGGUUAUCUGUACUCUUGAUCCCUCGGUUUUCAUGUCAAAGUGUCAGGUCAGUGUCUUGGAUGUUGGUUCAUUUAUGUUGGCCUCCACGGGUUGGUUGCAGGACUGGAGAUCUGGUAUGUGGAGAUGUUUGGGGUGUUAUAUGUCGGAUGGGAUUUGAGGCAGGUCAGAUCAGAUUUGAAUGGCUAUUUCCCAUGUGGUCGUCAUCAACUAAUAUGAGGUGGAUUCGAGGUCCUGGUGAAUUCUUACUGUAGCAGCUGAUCUUGCUUUUGGUGUCUGUUUGUGCUCCUUUAGAUGCAACAGAAGGAGGGUAGUGGUUCUGUAGAGACGAGUCAAGAGGGUGGAGGAUGUUUUGGGUCGUUCAUCAACCUGGAACUUUAUUGGUGGCUCUCCAGAAAUUGGAAUAAUAUGGCUUAGAAGGCACUCCUAUUUUUUCCUCGGCAUGGCGGUUCCUUCUGGGGCUUGAAAUUUUUCAACCUUUCUUUAUUCUAUAAUUGAACUCUCAUGACAAUAGGUUUUCUCUACCUUUGUCAGUAACUCUCAGCUCUUGUAGAUAUUGACAUGGAAAUGAUAUAACUGCAGUUUGGAACCAGUGUUGUUGCCAUCCGUCAACCAUAGCUGAACUUGCUAGCUGAGUCAGGCUUUCUUGUUUCCGUCCAUUGUUUGAUCCAUGCUUUAGCUAUUUAAAAGUAACAUUUACCCCUAACCGAAAAUUUAUAGGAAGGUCUCUCGCUCGUUGCAGGUUGUAGUUGACGAACUCCAGCCCAACCUGAUGAUGAAUUUCUUUAUUCAUAUGCAAAGGCGCAUGAAUCUAAGGACAAUCCGAAGCUUUCAACUAAUUGCACAUCCUACAACAGAAAAAGACUCUUGCCCUCCUAUUUUUUCAUUUCAUUUAGCUACUUGGCCAUGUCUUUGAUAUAGGUUUUUGUUCCUGCCCUUCUUGUGGUUGCAGAUUUUUCUUUAGCCGGUAAUGACGUGGAAUCUGUUAAAUAUUUUGGUUUGUGAUCUAGCUCUCCGUGGUCCGUUUUGUUAUCUGUACUCUUGAUCCCUGUGUUCUUUUUGUCUUCCGCGAGUGCGGGGUGCAGGAUAUAACAGUUAAAAUUUUCUGCCCAAACCUAUGUCCAUGGAGUCAGGUCAGUGUCUUGUAGGCGGUCUGUUUGCUUCAUUUGUUAUCGCCGCCUCUGUGAGUUGGCUUGCAGGACUGGAUCUGGAUCUGGUCUGGAAAUGAAGUUAACAGUAUGUUGAAGGGGACUUGUGGCAGGUCAGUUUCCCAUGUUUGGUCCCAUUGGUCUUGUGGACGUCAGAGUUCUUUGAUUUAUCUUCGUCAGAUGGCUCAACAUGAGUACCUUAUCCUUAAGUAUUGAGGUGGAUUUUGUUGGUUCUCAUUGUUACAGCUGAUCUCUGUUUGUGGGGUAUGUGUUUGUUCUCCUUCAGAUGCAGGAGGGCGAUGGUUGUUGAGUGAUGAACCAGAGAGUGGAGGUUUGCUUUACUGUUCAUGGUCAUUGUUAUGGCUCAGUGCCUUGUAUGAUAUAAGAUAGCAUCUUGUGUGCUGAAGUUUGUGUUUUGGUUGAAGUUGGAUUGAAUCGUUAACCAUGGGAUGGGGACCAGAGAAUUUGGGAACUACGUUUUGAUAAUUGAUCCUCAAUUUAGCUUCUUUGUUUGCACAGUCAAAUUAAGCUUACAGCAUCUCUGAUAUUGACUGUUGGUUCUCCAGCUAAUGGACUUAUGGGGCUUUCUGGAAGGUGCCUUGUUUUGACUGUUGGUUUACAGGGGGUUUCUUCUGUUGACUUCAUCUUUCCUGAUUUGCUUUGAACAUUGUACUUCCAAGACAUGAUUUUCUCUGCCCUUGGUAAUCAUGUGCCCUUGCAGACAUUGACAUGGAUGAGAGAUAAUAUAGUUCGCUAUCUGGAAGACUGGGACUGGCGUUGUUGCCUAACUAGCCAAGCAAGCUUAUCCUAUCCCCUCACUGUUUGAUGCAUCAUUUAGCUGUUUAUAGGCAGCAUCAUUUCCCCAAAGCAAAAGUUGAAACAAAGGUUUCUUGGUCCACUGCAGGUCCUAACUGAUGAUUUAGGUCCAACAUGAUGAUGAAUAUGUUUGAAGAUCUUCUAAACCCUGCACCUUUCCAAUUCAUCAUAAUUUUUUCAACAUAUAAUUUAUCUUACAGAGACAAAAUUUAAACAUUCAGAUUGAUUUGGUGGAUGUACAAGGUUCGAAGGUUGCUUUGGAGCAUCAAUCUAGACAGGGCAUCCUACAACUGAAAAAACCCAGUGCUCUCUAUUUUGAUCUCUUGAAGAAGCCUCUGUUGUCUUAGCUGCUAGCAUUGAUUGUGGUUUUUGCUUCCGCCUUCUUGUGGUUGCAGAUUGUUUAGCCCAAGCCAAAUCUGUCGUAUUUUUGGCUUGUGAUCCUCUCCUGACUUAUAUUUGGGUAAUGUGGAUGGCUUGAUAUGCAAAAAGAGGUUAGGGAUUAACGCUAUAUACCAACACAAUGGAGAGUUGAAGCUUCUGAACUAGAAGCUUGAACAAACAAUUUGCCAUGGACACUCUACUUCUCAUCAUGUCUUUGAUUAGUGUCAUGUCCACUGAAUAUGAUUCCGAUUUGUUGGUAUGGAAUUGAUUUUCAGAAGUGAUGUUCUUCUGGUGGUUCUCCAGUGAGAUCUUGUUACUUCAGUGCAUCUUCUCGGUUUGCAACGGAACUUCCUAUUUUAAUUUGGCAACUUGUAAAAUAAGUCUUGCUAAAUUUGAUGACUACUGCUGAUUGUAUACUUUUCAACUCAAGUAGCUUGUACAUAUGUCAGUUUCAUUCAUGCUGGAUGUUCUCAUUCAGGUUCUGGAAUUUAUAGCUUUCCUUAUUUGUGCCCGUA